UGGGCGUAAAGAGCGUGUAGGCGGUUUGUUAAGUCUGUUGUGAAAGCCCUGGACUCAACCCAGGAAGUGCACUGGAUACUGGCAGACUUGAAUACGGGAGGGGGUAGUGGAAUUCCUAGUGUAGGAGUGAAAUCCGUAGAUAUUAGGAGGAACACCGGUGGCGAAGGCGGCUACCUGGACCGAUAUUGACGCUGAGACGCGAAAGCGUGGGUAGCAAACAGGAUUAGAUACCCUGGUAGUCCACGCCGUAAACGAUGAGAACUAAGUGUUGCGGG
rnacentral:rRNA from 1 species